CAAAACUUGAGCAAAAAAUCUCAUUUCCUUGUCAUUAAUUAAUAUGGCUUGCUCAAAGAUUUUCCUUCUUCUUAGCGUUGCAUUUGCUGUUCUUCUUCUCAUCUCAUCUGUCUCUGCUCAGACAGUUCAAACUCAGGGAACUGCGAACGUAGAUUUAAGCCAGGCUCAUGUGAGUGGAUAUGGACACGGACACAAACACAAGGGACAUGGAGGACAUGGACACAGACACGGACACGGACACGGACACGGACAUGUUUCUGCUAGCAAGACACAAGUGAAACCUGAAGCUGGAAAUUAAAAGAACCCUAAAUCAUUUAAACUUUAAAAGUGUGGGAAUGGCGCUUAUGAAUGUAAUAAGGGUGUUUAGAUAGGCAUCUUCACUGCACCUUACAUGUCUAUGGAAAUACUAAUUGAAAGAAUAUAUAAUAAAACAACUUGCCUAUCCAAAUAUUUUACCUGGAUAGUUAUAAUCAAA